rnacentral:rRNA from 1 species
AACGAACGCUGGCGGCAGGCUUAACACAUGCAAGUCGAACGGUUGUAGCAAUACAGCAGUGGCAGACGGGUGAGUAACACGUGGGAACCUUCCUAGGGGUACGGAACAACUCAGGGAAACUUGAGCUAAUACCGUAUACGUCCGUGAGGAGAAAGAUUUAUCGCCCUUAGACGGGCCCGCGUAGGAUUAGGUAGUUGGUGGGGUAAUGGCCUACCAAGCCUACGAUCCUUAGCUGAUCUGAGAGGAUGAUCAGCCACACUGGGACUGAGACACGGCCCAGACUCCUACGGGAGGCAGCAGUGGGGAAUCUUGGACAAUGGGCGCAAGCCUGAUCCAGCCAUGCCGCGUGAGUGAAGAAGGCCUU